CUCAGCUCUGUCUCUCCCUCUCUUUCCAGCUGGGCUUCUAUUGUAAUACACACACACAUUCAUGCUCUCUCACACUCGCUCUGCCUGCCUGCCUGCCUGACACACAGACUCUCUACUUACAGCGCUGAAGGGAGGACUGAGGCUCACACUUUCAGCUUCUCAAUGGGGGGAUGCAGCCAAGAGCAGACAGAGCAGUCAUUCCACUGGAGCCUUCCGCUGCACGCGUGAGAGAGAGGGGGACGACAAGUGAGGAGGCUGAACUAGACAUCCCCCUUUCAUCUGCACACAGGAGUUUUACUUGACCGUGAAGAGACACUGAAAAGGAGAGAAGACCUGCCGUGCCAUGAUCAGCCUCUCCAUCCCUCACGUCCUGGCUAGUUUGUGACAAACACACACACACCCCCUCUUGGGUGUUUUUGGGACUCUUUGUGUUGGCAAGGAUUUCCAAAGAGCAGCAGAGGUCCUGAGGAGGGGGACACAAGGAUAAAUUUUAGCACCCUGGUGUUUCUUUUCUUGUGCAGCUCUUGGCUUACCUGGUGGUGUUGGAAUUUGGAGCAGAAAUCCCCGGCUUCCCAGCAUGGAUGGAAUUAAGAGAGAGGAGUGAGACGAGCAGGCGGGGAUUCUGACUGAGCUUCUUUCCUUCUCAACACACAGCUCAGACUCAGCCUCACCAUGUCCUGGUUGUUGGCCGUGUGGAUUAGCCUCGGCUUCCUGCUGCUGUGCCAGGCCACCCUUUACCAAACCAUCCAGCAGCACCACGUGGCUCGACCCGGUCGCACUGACAUCCUCACCCUAGAGGGCGGAACGUGUGAGGUGAUUGCUGCCCACCGGUGCUGCAACAAAAACCGUAUUGAGGAGCGCUCUCAGACGGUCAAGUGUUCCUGUUUACCUGGAAAAGUGGCUGGGACAACACGCAACAAGCCCUCCUGUGUGGAUGCAUCCAUCGUAAUUGGGAAGUGGUGGUGUGAGAUGGAACCAUGUCUGGAGGGAGAGGAGUGUAAGACUCUGCCCGACAAUUCUGGAUGGAUGUGCUCCUCUGGGAACAAGAUAAAGACAACAAGGAACACCCAGCCAUACUCCCCUUUUUAGCUUCCGGAAGCAAAAUGCAGAAGAUGUGUCAACAGAAAUUGAGCUGCAUUCUUGCUUCUGUAAAGAGAGGGAACCCUUCAAUGCCUGUUCUGUAUCAGCAGACAAGGCAGGCCCUUUUGUUUGUGGAAGUCACAGUGAGCGCAGUGAGCUCGGGAGCCCCUUCCAAAAACAUUCGCCCACCAUAGAUCUGCAUUACCCGCUCCACUGGCUAAAAUAAAUCAAUCUAUUUUUGCCACAAACAUUUAUACAUCCUAAAGAAGACAAGCGAAAUGAAAACAGCUUGUUAUUCUCCCACUUUUUGACUUAGUGACAGAAAUAUGUUCUUGUGCAAGACUGAAUAUUUAUAUUUUGGAACCAUUUGGCACAAGAGGCAACCAGAAAUUCACCUACAGCACACAAGCUGUUUGAGCUGAAUAAAGAAACGCCACCCCUGAAAACUGUUCAGAUUAGCAAGCACAAAGUAUCAAACUUGAGUGGAUCAGUCUUACCUCACCAUUGCCUCUUUUAUUCCCAGUGAUUUCCUUGUUGUAUGGAAAUCCACGUUUUGUUUUGUUUUUUUAAAAAAGCUGCAGAGGGCACUUUUUUAAAGCUAAGUAACACACAGUCUGCGAGCAAAACUAACUUGCCUGCAGAAGCAACUCCAUCAGAUAAUGAGACAUUAUUCUGAAGGUGAUCAACUACAAAUAACCAUUUCAUGCACAUUCAUCCGGGAAUGACCUGUUCGACUGCUGCUUGAAUACGGUCCUGUGGAAACGUCUCUGCGCCUUCAUAUUAUUUUCUGUUUUGUCACAGAUGAAUGUUUCAUGAAACACAUUCCAAUAUUAGACAAAGAUAACCUCUGGAAAUGCAGAGAAAUGUUUCCAAAUGAUGAUCUCAUUCAUCAAGGGAAGAACGACUAUUCAAACCAACUGGCCCUAAACGACAAAGCUAUUGCCCCUAAACAUAAUGUGGGCCUACUCUCAUAACUUCUAUGAGUUUGCUGUGGUCUCUAGUAAGUGAGUAAUGUGGUCUCUGAAUGCCUUGUGAGUCAUUGUCUUUAGGUCUUUAGAAAAAAAGCACUGGCACUCCUGUUUUAGGAAGUAAAAUUUAGAGGAGUGAGGGAUGGAAAACAGCUUUGGAUUUGGAGUCUUAUUAAUAUUCAUGAUGUCCGAACAGCUCACCUCUGAUUCGCAAACAGCAACGUGGCUCUUCUGCUUCCUCCAUUCACUCUUCUUCCAUGGGGAAAACAUACAAUGUUGAUGUCUUAGCUCCUCAAAUAACUCAAGUGUGAACAUGUUCUGCCAAGUUGGGGAGUUGCUAAUGCUAAUGGUUAGCUUCUCUCAGAUGCAGAAGUGCUCUGCUCUUUCUUGGAUGCUAAAUUCCCUUGUCUGGUUCUACUCAAACCUUACUGGCAGAACCGAAUACUUUGCUCUGGGCCAAACAAGAUCACACAUAUGUGGUGUCCCUCAAGGCUCUCUUCUGGACCCCAAUUUAUUCUCACAUCAUUAGCAGACAUGGCAUAUCCGUCCACUGUUAUGCUGAUGAUACUCAGCUCUACCUCAAGACACCAACCAGCUUCUCUGCUCCUGUGUGCACAAGAAAUACCUGUCUGGAGGACAUAGAGGCGUGGAUGAAGCUCAACUUUCUUCAGUUAAACAGCUCUAAGACAGAAGCAAUUCUAGUUGGCACACUUCAUAAACUCCACUUUUCCACCAUAACCAGCAUCACUUUCUCUGGCCAAAACAUACCCCUUUCCACAACUGUCACCAACGUGGGUGUCAAAAUGGAUUCACAACUCACCUUUGAUAUCCACAUCAGACGCUUGUGUAAGACAUCCUUUUAUCAUCAUUGGAACAUUGGCAAACUAUGAACAGUGCUAAGCCUGGCAGAUGCAGAGAAGCUUGUCAACGCCUUUAUCUCUUCCAGAAUGGACUACUGUAAUGCAAUCCUAUUUGGGAUCCCUGAAAAAAGCAUUCAGAGACUACAAAACAUCCAGAACAGAACUGCUAGGAUCCUAAUGAGGGUGCACAAGUAUGAGCAUAUCACCCUCAUUCUGAAAGCUCUUCAUUGGCUCCUAGUUUCAUUCAGAAUUUAAUUCAACGUUUCUCUGCUCUCUUAUCCGUGCAUUCAUGGUCAUACUCCCUUCUAUUUCAAAGGACCUCCUCACAUUCCCAACAAAUCAAAUUCUUUGAUCUGCAACAACAAAUACACUCUAAAUCCUCAGAAGUAAGCUUCGCAGCAUGGGUGAUCCAGCCUUUUCAACUGCUGGUCCGAGGAUAUGGAAUACCCUACCCAUUAAUCAAUUUCCCUCUGGGAUUAAUACAGUAUUUUUGAAUUGAAUUGAAUCCAUCUGAAAGCCCCAUAAACUGUAGAUGCUAUUAAAUGGAAUCUUAAGACGUAUCUUUUUAGGAAAGCCUUUUGCUAAGUACAUUAUAUAUACUUUGUAGCUCUUUGAGAUUGCUAAAAUACAAAGUACGUAACACGUACAAUUUUGUUUUAUUAUUAUUAUUUUUAUUAUUAUUAUUAUUAUUGUUGUUGUUGUUGUUGUUGUUAUUAUUAUUAUAUUAAUGAUAAUACUUUUAAAGAAAAAUACUGCACUAUUACAACACUACUGACCUGCGCAUUUGCAGACUAUAUUCACUUUCUGACUGCAUCUCAAAGUGACAAUAGGAUUUCAUAAGAACAAGUAUUGUACGUUUCUCAGUGAAUAUCCUCUUUAAUACCUCAUUUUAACCCUGUUUGCAGCAACAUCUACACUCAAGAAUUUGUGAUAACUGGUGAAGGAAAUGUAUUCUGUUGCUUUUAGAGUAAUAGUUUUAAAACAGCCUGUCCAAGUUCAAGGCAUGACAUUCUACAGGACUCUUUGAUGAGAGCAGUAUUCAUAAAUUCAAGUCAUCUAGAAUCUGAAGGAGCCCCAGGCCAUCACACUACCAUCACCAAGUUUGACUGCAUUGUACGAUGUUUUGUGUUUUUUUUUUUGUCCUCUUUUAUUCUGAAAUCCAGUUUUAAUUUAACACAAUGCUGACACAUUAAUUCCACAAAUGCCUGGAAGACUGAGAUGUUUAAAGGUGUGGUUUACUCAUUAAUUCAAUAGAUCACUCAUAAAAAAAAACUAAAACGCUAUGAUGCUCCUUUUCUAAGAUGCUGAAGUUUGCUCGUACAGAGGUGAGCUGAAAACAGCAGAAUUGCACAUUAUUAUUAUUAUUAUUAUUAUUAUUAUUAUUAUUAUUAUUGUUAUUAUUAUUAUUAUUAUUAUUAUCUAUAUGAACACACCUCAUUUCUGAUUCGCUAACAAAACACGUUCAGCCAUUUUGCAAAAUAUCCGCUCUCAUUCCUUGGUGCAAAAAAAAAAAAAAGAAAGAAAGAAAGCCUUCCUGUGGGUGAGCACGAGCCAAGAUGGGCAAGGCCAUGGAUGCAAAUUCACAGUGUGGCAUAAAUAUGUGAGGAUUUUCAAAUCCUGGCAUUGUCUAUUUUGUCAGAAGCUAAUGCAGGAGAUAGGUGUAUAACUCUGUUUUCAUGUUCAGCCUGUAUGGAAAAACUCAAUGACGAAUUAAAUUAAGAAAAUAAAAUGUUUUUUAGUCAACUACACCUUUAUGGUAAAUUUGAGAAAAGAUGGGUUCUGUUUGGUCAGCAGAUUUUCCAAUGGUCUUGCAGUAAUGUGGUUAAACACAGUUAAUUCCUAUUUUCAGUCAAUUAACAUUUCACGUUGAGCCAGGUUGGUUUGGAUAGUAAUAUAAUUUCCAUUAGAAAACAGCAUUUUGUAUUCACUCAGGUUAUCUUUCUCUAUUUUUAUUUAUUUAUUUUUUUGUUUGCUGAUCUGAAAAUAUAAAUGUGUCAAAAACCAAAACAGAAAAGUAUCUGUAAUGACACAAAUACACUUUACUACACUAAAUAUUUCUCCUUCUCCUUCAAGCAUUUGUGGCAUUAUGAGAAAGACUAGUAAAUAAAAUAUUUUGAAAACAUUGUU